rnacentral:rRNA from 2 species
UACGAAGGGGGCUAGCGUUGCUCGGAAUUACUGGGCGUAAAGCGCACGUAGGCGGGCUAUUAAGUCGGGGGUGAAAUCCUGGAGCUCAACUCCAGAACUGCCUUCGAAACUGAUAGUCUUGAGUUCGGGAGAGGUGAGUGGAACUGCGAGUGUAGAGGUGAAAUUCGUAGAUAUUCGCAAGAACACCAGUGGCGAAGGCGGCUCACUGGCCCGAUACUGACGCUGAGGUGCGAAAGCGUGGGGAGCAAACAGG